rnacentral:rRNA from 1 species
UACGUAGGGUGCUAGCGUUGUCCGGAAUCAUUGGGCGUAAAGAGCGCGUAGGCGGCCAGAUAAGUCCGGUGUGAAAGUCAAAGGCUCAACCUUUGAAUGCCGCUGGAAACUGUCUGGCUAGAGUCCGGGAGGGGCGAGUGGAAUUCCUGGUGUAGCGGUGAAAUGCGCAGAUAUCAGGAGGAACACCAAUGGCGAAGGCAGCUCGCUGGAACGGAACUGACGCUGAGGCGCGAAAGCGUGGGGAGCGAACAGG